rnacentral:rRNA from 1 species
GACGAACGCUGGCGGCGUGCUUAACACAUGCAAGUUGAACGAUGAAGCCUAGCUUGCUAGGUGGAUUAGUGGCGAACGGGUGAGUAAUACGUGAGUAACCUACCUUUAACUCUGGGAUAAGCCUGGGAAACUGGGUCUAAUACCGGAUACGACCAAUCUCCGCAUGGGGUGUUGGUGGAAAGCGUUAUGUAGUGGUUAUAGAUGGGCUCACGGCCUAUCAGCUUGUUGGUGAGGUAACGGCUCACCAAGGCGACGACGGGUAGCCGGCCUGAGAGGGUGACCGGCCACACUGGGACUGAGACACGGCCCAGACUCCUACGGGAGGCAGCAGUGGGGAAUAUUGCACAAUGGGCGCAAGCCUGAUGCAGCGGCGCCGCGUGAGGGAUGACGGCCUUCGGGUUGUAAACCUCUGUUAGCAGGGAAGAAGAGAAAUUGACGGUACCUGCAGAGAAAGCGCCGGCUAACUACGUGCCAGCAGCCGCGGUAAUACGUAGGGCGCGAGCGUUGUCCGGGAUUAUUGGGACGUAAGAGCUUGUANGCGGUUUGUCGCGUCUGCUGUGAAGGCCGGGGCUUAACCCCGUGUAUUGCAGUGGGUACGGGCAGACUAGAGUGCAGUAGGGGAGACUGGAACUCCUGGUGUAGCGGUGGAAUGCGCAGAUAUCAGGAAGAACACCGAUGGCGAAGGCAGGUCUCUGGGCUGUAACUGACGCUGAGAAGCGAAAGCAUGGGGAGCGAACAGGAUUAGAUACCCUGGUAGUCCAUGCCGUAAACGUUGGGCACUAGGUGUGGGGGACAUUCCACGUUUUCCGCGCCGUAGCUAACGCAUUAAGUGCCCCGCCUGGGGAGUACGGCCGCAAGGCUAAAACUCAAAGAAAUUGACGGGGGCCCGCACAAGCGGCGGAGCAUGCGGAUUAAUUCGAUGCAACGCGAAGAACCUUACCAAGGCUUGACAUAUACUGGACCGCAUCAGAGAUGGUGUUUCCCUUCGGGGCUGGUAUACAGGUGGUGCAUGGUUGUCGUCAGCUCGUGUCGUGAGAUGUUGGGUUAAGUCCCGCAACGAGCGCAACCCUCGUUCUAUGUUGCCAGCACGUUAUGGUGGGGACUCAUAGGAGACUGCCGGGGUCAACUCGGAGGAAGGUGGGGAUGACGUCAAAUCAUCAUGCCCCUUAUGUCUUGGGCUUCACGCAUGCUACAAUGGCCGGUACAGAGGGUUGCGAUACUGUGAGGUGGAGCUAAUCCCUAAAAGCCGGUCUCAGUUCGGAUUGGGGUCUGCAACUCGACCCCAUGAAGUCGGAGUCGCUAGUAAUCGCAGAUCAGCAACGCUGCGGUGAAUACGUUCCCGGGCCU